GUACACAAAAAUGCACAUAUUGUGAGCUCGAUGAGUAGGGCGGGACACGUGGUAUCCUGUCUGAAUAUGGGGGGACCAUCCUCCAAGGCUAAAUACUCCUGACUGACCGAUAGUGAACCAGUACCGUGAGGGAAAGGCGAAAAGAACCCCGGCGAGGGGAGUGAAAAAGAACCUGAAACCGUGUACGUACAAGCAGUGGGAGCCUCUUUAUGGGGUGACUGCGUACCUUUUGUAUAAUGGGUCAGCGACUUAUAUUCUGUAGCAAGGUUAACCGAAUAGGGGAGCCGAAGGGAAACCGAGUCUUAACUGGGCGUUAAGUUGCAGGGUAUAGACCCGAAACCCGGUGAUCUAGCCAUGGGCAGGUUGAAGGUUGGGUAACACUAACUGGAGGACCGAACCGACUAAUGUUGAAAAAUUAGCGGAUGACUUGUGGCUGGGGGUGAAAGGCCAAUCAAACCGGGAGAUAGCUGGUUCUCCCCGAAAGCUAUUUAGGUAGCGCCUCGUGAAUUCAUCUCCGGGGGUAGAGCACUGUUUCGGCAAGGGGGUCAUCCCGACUUACCAACCCGAUGCAAACUGCGAAUACCGGAGAAUGUUAUCACGGGAGACACACGGCGGGUGCUAACGUCCGUCGUGAAGAGGGAAACAACCCAGACCGCCAGCUAAGGUCCCAAAGUCAUGGUUAAGUGGGAAACGAUGUGGGAAGGCCCAGACAGCCAGGAUGUUGGCUUAGAAGCAGCCAUCAUUUAAAGAAAGCGUAAUAGCUCACUGGUCGAGUCGGCCUGCGCGGAAGAUGUAACGGGGCUAAACCAUGCACCGAAGCUGCGGCAGCGACACUAUGUGUUGUUGGGUAGGGGAGCGUUCUGUAAGCCUGUGAAGGUGGCCUGUGAGGGUUGCUGGAGGUAUCAGAAGUGCGAAUGCUGACAUAAGUAACGAUAAAGCGGGUGAAAAGCCCGCUCGCCGGAAGACCAAGGGUUCCUGUCCAACGUUAAUCGGGGCAGGGUGAGUCGACCCCUAAGGCGAGGCCGAAAGGCGUAGUCGAUGGGAAACAGGUUAAUAUUCCUGUACUUGGUGUUACUGCGAAGGGGGGACGGAGAAGGCUAUGUUGGCCGGGCGACGGUUGUCCCGGUUUAAGCGUGUAGGCUGGUUUUCCAGGCAAAUCCGGAAAACCAAGGCUGAGGCGUGAUGACGAGGCACUACGGUGCUGAAGCGACAAAUGCCCUGCUUCCAGGAAAAGCCUCUAAGCAUCAGGUAACAUCAAAUCGUACCCCAAACCGACACAGGUGGUCAGGUAGAGAAUACCAAGGCGCUUGAGAGAACUCGGGUGAAGGAACUAGGCAAAAUGGUGCCGUAACUUCGGGAGAAGGCACGCUGAUAUGUAGGUGAAGCGACUUGCUCGUGGAGCUGAAAUCAGUCGAAGAUACCAGCUGGCUGCAACUGUUUAUUAAAAACACAGCACUGUGCAAACACGAAAGUGGACGUAUACGGUGUGACGCCUGCCCGGUGCCGGAAGGUUAAUUGAUGGGGUUAGCGGUAACGCGAAGCUCUUGAUCGAAGCCCCGGUAAACGGCGGCCGUAACUAUAACGGUCCUAAGGUAGCGAAAUUCCUUGUCGGGUAAGUUCCGACCUGCACGAAUGGCGUAAUGAUGGCCAGGCUGUCUCCACCCGAGACUCAGUGAAAUUGAACUCGCUGUGAAGAUGCAGUGUACCCGCGGCAAGACGGAAAGACCCCGUGAACCUUUACUAUAGCUUGACACUGAACAUUGAGCCUUGAUGUGUAGGAUAGGUGGGAGGCUUUGAAGUGUGGACGCCAGUCUGCAUGGAGCCGACCUUGAAAUACCACCCUUUAAUGUUUGAUGUUCUAACGUUGGCCCGUAAUCCGGGUUGCGGACAGUGUCUGGUGGGUAGUUUGACUGGGGCGGUCUCCUCCUAAAGAGUAACGGAGGAGCACGAAGGUUGGCUAAUCCUGGUCGGACAUCAGGAGGUUAGUGCAAUGGCAUAAGCCAGCUUGACUGCGAGCGUGACGGCGCGAGCAGGUGCGAAAGCAGGUCAUAGUGAUCCGGUGGUUCUGAAUGGAAGGGCCAUCGCUCAACGGAUAAAAGGUACUCCGGGGAUAACAGGCUGAUACCGCCCAAGAGUUCAUAUCGACGGCGGUGUUUGGCACCUCGAUGUCGGCUCAUCACAUCCUGGGGCUGAAGUAGGUCCCAAGGGUAUGGCUGUUCGCCAUUUAAAGUGGUACGCGAGCUGGGUUUAGAACGUCGUGAGACAGUUCGGUCCCUAUCUGCCGUGGGCGCUGGAGAACUGAGGGGGG
rnacentral:rRNA from 1 species